CCUACGGGGGGCUGCAGUGGGGAAUAUUGCACAAUGGGCGAAAGCCUGAUGCAGCGACGCCGCGUGGGGGAUGAAGGCCUUCGGGUUGUAAACCUCUUUCAGCGCCGAAGAAGCGAAAGUGACGGUAGGCGCAGAAGAAGCACCGGCUAACUACGUGCCAGCAGCCGCGGUAAUACGUAGGGUGCAAGCGUUGUCCGGAUUUAUUGGGCGUAAAGAGCUCGUAGGCGGUUUGUCGCGUCUGCUGUGAAAACUCGGGGCUUAACUCCGGGCCUGCAGUGGGUACGGGCAGACUAGAGUGCGGUAGGGGAGACUGGAAUUCCUGGUGUAGCGGUGAAAUGCGCAGAUAUCAGGAGGAACACCGGUGGCGAAGGCGGGUCUCUGGGCCGUAACUGACGCUGAGGAGC
rnacentral:rRNA from 1 species